AAUAAGCCCAAGUAACUUGCUGGUUCAGUAAGCUGGACUCAGUGGGACUUUGGUCUGUCAUGGUGCCCUAGCUGGGGUGAGUAGACAUUUUUCAGGCCUCUCCAGGAAUCAUUCAUAUAGCUGGGGUUAAACAAAAAUGCUGUGUUGCAGCGUCACACGGGAGCACCUGCGUGCCACUGAGCAACGACUGCCUCACUGCAGGUCCAGUGACAGCACACAAUCUCCGCAGCAACCGAUCAGCCGCCACCACUGCACCAACAUGAUCACAAGACAAUGUGUAAGCAAGGGUGGCUAAACUCCAACAGCAUUUUGCUCAGAUGGAAAGGAGAGCUCUGGUCUUGCUGCUUGGAUUCCAGUUCAAGAGGCAAGUGGGAGACCUAACACAGCCAAGACUCAGCUGGAACUGAGGUGGAGUUUGUAGCUGGUGGUCCACAUGAAAGCUGUACAACUCCCCCCAACACACACACCACCAUCCCUGCCGCCCAGCCACCGCUAGCAUGGCCCCUGCAUUUUGAGUUCCUCCAAUCUCUGCAAAUGCUAAGGCCACUGUGAUUGCAUGAGUGGCAGGGGAGGCCUAUUCUUCCACUACCCAACCUCCCACGAGAAAACAGACACUGUGGAACAUGUACCCUAUCCAGGUGAGAACUGGUGGACUCGGUGUAAGCCGCAACUCAGCCAUCUCCAGCCCUGCACUCGGCUGGUGGCAAUGGCACUCACUAGGCCAGGUUCAUGCCACAAAAGGCAUCUCCUGGGUGCAGAGGUGUUGUAAACCUACCUGGGGAGAUCACAGCUAUUACUGGCACAAGUCUGCCUUCCAGGUAGAAAGCUGUCCUUGUGGUUCUGCUGCCUGGAGGCUGUCCACCCAUCUUUUUGGGGAUUUUUUUGUUUUUUUGUUUUUGUUUUGUUUUUUCAAGACAGGGUUUCUCUGUAUAGCCCUGGCUGUCCUGGAACUCACUUUGUAGACCAGGCCGGCCUCCAACUCAGAAAUCCGCCUGCCUCUGCCUCCCGAAUGCUGGGUUUAAAGGCGUGCGCCACCACGCCCGGCUGUUCCAUCUAUCUUAACAUCAUCAUCCAUUGUGGUCUCAAUGCACCCAGGCCGUUGUAAGCUAUGUACUUACUCAGAGCACAGACUCUCUCACCCUUACAAUUUACUUAUGAGAAGAGAUAUGUUGAAAUAAGAAGGGAGUAGCCCUGCAGCAAGCUGAACAGGACAUGGGACAGACACAUCUGCAAAGCUAACUCCUCAGAGAGGACAACGGCAGAGACUGGCCUUGCUGCUUUUAAAUCUCCAAAGCUUCCCUGAUGUCACUGUCUACUCAUAGCUUAAAAAACUAUGGGACUGAGGUAGCAUGGUUGGGGGAGAGGGGUGAAGUGCUGACUCUGUAAGUGUGAGGGCAAGACUCCCAACCCCAGAAACCAUGUGCAUACCAAGUGCAGGGGUCUGUGAUCCUUACACUGGGGGAUGGGGUGAGAGUGUGGGAAGGGGACAGACAGCUGGAUCCCUGGCUGUCCAGCUAGUCUAACCACAAAAGCAAGCCCCACAUUCAGAGAAAGACACAGUUUCAAAAUAUGGUGGUCAGCAAUAGAGGGAAAUAUGCUGUUAACCUCUGACAUGAGCAUCUACACACAUGUGUGUGGGCACACACACACACACACACAUCCCUGUGCAUGUGUGGGCAUGAGCACCUGCACACAGAUGUGUGGGCACACACAAGUACCCCACUCACACACAUAGACAUAUUUUCUGUGAUUAAAUCAGGCAUUUCUCUGAAGGCUGCAGUGAGUGAGGGACUGUGAAUGACCACUGGACACAGAAUUCCCAGGUCCUAAUAACAUUGCUGGUUAAAAAAAAAAAAAAAUCAGUGUGGCCUACCUAGCAUAGUGACAUGCACCUUUAAUCCCAGCUCCCAGGAGGCAAAAACAGGCAGAUCUCUGUGAGUUUGAGGCCAGCCUACUCUGAUAGCAAGUUCUAGGACAGCCAGAGAUACACAGUAAGACCUUGUCCAAAAAAAAAAAAAAAAGGCAGUGCUGGUUCUUACAGUCACAGACAGAGAUGAGAAGGCCAAGGGAACUAACAAAACCCCAAAAGCCAAUGGCAUCCCCAACUGCAAAAUGGAUGCUGUGCAGUAGCGAAGCCAGUUACCACAGCUGUGUGGUAGGGAAGUCAGUUAACACAGCUGUGUGGUAGUGAAGCCAGUUACCACAGCUGUGUAGUGGGGAAGCUAGUUACCACAGCUGUGUGCUAGGGAAGACAGUUACCACAGCUGUGUAGUGGGGAAGCUAGCUACCACAGCUGUGUGCUAAGAAGACAGCUACCACAGCUGUGUGCUAGGGAAGCCAGUUACCACAGCUGUGUGCUAGGGAAGCCAGUUACCACAGCUGUGUGCUAGGGAAGCCAGUUACCACAGCUGUGUGCUAGGGAAGCCAGUUACCACAGCUGUGUGGUGGGGAAGCUAGCUACCACAGCUGUGUGCUAGGGAAGCCAGUUACCACAGCUGUGUGGUGGGGAAGACAGUUACCACAGCUGUGUGCUAGGGAAGCCAGUUACCACAGCUGUGUGCUAGGGAAGCUAGCUACCACAGCUGUGUGCUAGGGAAGCCAGUUACCACAGCUGUGUGGUGGGGAAGCUAGCUACCACAGCUGUGUGCUAGGGAAGCUAGCUACCACAGCUGUGUGCUAGGGAAGACAGUUACCACAGCUGUGUGCUAGGGAAGACAGUUACCACAGCUGUGUGGUGGGGAAGCUAGCUACCACAGCUGUGUGGUGGGGAAGACAGUUACCACAGCUGUGUGCUAGGGAAGCCAGUUACCACAGCUGUGUGCUAGGGAAGACAGUUACCACAGCUGUGUGGUGGGGAAGCUAGUUGCCACAGCUGUGUGCUGGGGAAGACAGUUACCACAGCUGUGUGCUAGGGAAGACAGUUACCACAGCUGUGUGCUAGGGAAGCUAGCUACCACAGCUGUGUGGUGGGGAAGCUAGUUACCACAGCUGUGUGCUAGGGAAGACAGUUACCAAAGCUGUGUGCGAGGGAAGUCAGUUACCACAGCUGUGUGCUAGGUAAGUCAGUUACCACAGCUGUGUAGUGGGGAAGCCAGUUACCACAGCUGUGUGCUAGGGAAGCCAGUUACCACAGCUGUGUGGUGGGGAAGCUAGUUACCACAGCUGUGUGGUGGGGAAGCUAGUUACCACAGCUGUGUGGUAGUGAAGCUAGUUACCACAGCUGUGUGGUGGGGAAGCUAGUUACUACAGCUGAUACCCAGCCAGGCUGCAGAGAGGCUGCAGGCUGCUCAGUACUCAGCUAGUUCCAGUAUGGUCAUGUGGAAAAUGCAGGUUUCACUCAUGCCACAGAUCCAUGCUACCUAUACACAAGGCAUGUGCACAUGUGCCAAGACCCUUAUUUGCAUCCACUCAUCGACACCUCACAAAGUGCCUCCCAUGAACACGGCAGGCAUGAGGAUGAAGAAGGGAUCUGCCAGGAGUCACUGGAGCUAAUGGGCACUAGCUAGGAUUUGAACCCAUCCCUGACUCCAGCUAAAGCCUGUAACUACGACACAAAUCUUCAGCCCAGGCCUUGGGGAGAGGAAAGUCCACUGGUUGCAAAAGGCCGGAGGACUGAGAUACAAGAAAGCAAACCCAGAUCAUUACUGGGAAAUACCCUGAACACAUCCUCCUCAUGGGACUUCUGACCACUACUGAUAAGAUGUCACGCCCAGCCACCUACCACCACAUUGGAAGAUCACCCAAGUAAUGUGUGUGCUUUGUGCUGUAUACACCUGAACGGCUGCCUUGCUUGCAAUACUGUGAUGCAAGCACAACUCAGCUGUCUUGUGUGUGCAAACAGUAAAAGCCCCUUUUAGGAUGCUCUUGAUUGGCUGCACGCCUCUCCUUGCUCUCUAGUCAUGCCUAGCUGCAGGUUCAGAACCUUAGCAAGAUUUUCUAAAAAGAUGACCUGACUUCACGCCAACGUCAUGAAUCAAACACUGAGUGGGGCUUGUGUGCUUCUGCAAAGACCUCUGACCUGCGUUUAGGCCUGUAGGUACCCAUGUGACAGUUCGGUGAGAUCACGAGUUGAUCAAAACCACCCUUUCCCCACUAAGUAAGAAAGGUGCCCCAGGAUGCCAGCACUGCCUACCCUGUACCCCUCGGCUACUUCCCAGCAUAUACCUUGGGUUUAAACACAAAGCCAUUUCACGUGAGUGGUUCAUUUCCAAAGGAGUUCAUCAACCCAUCUUACCCAACCUGCAUAGGUGCUACUCUACAAUGGCUAGUAACUGUAUCCUAAAAAGCCAACACUUCCAGUAGCUGGAGAUGGCUCAGCAAUUAAAUACUGGUUGUUUCCCUAGAGGUCCUGAGUUCAGUUUCCAGACCAAUACAGUGGCUCACAACCAUCUGUAAUGGGACCCAAUGCCCUCUUCCUAUGUCUGUUUUAUAAAAAGCCAACACUUCCAGCCUUGGGCGGGCUCUACUAUGUUAUGCCUCUUCUCUCGUGGGCCGAGGCAGGGUGCCCACUACCCAACAGUCGUCAGACUCUGCCCGACGUGCUCAGCCUCUUCAUUCUACAGGCUUCAGGCAAAGAAUUAGGGGAUGGCUGAAGGGAUUUAAGAUUACAGUAAGAUAAAAACCCAAUGGUAACAAUCUUCCAAAAUAUAUUGGAACAAUCAUCAAGCCAACUACUGUUCUCCAGACAGGUAGCAAGGUCUGCUUGGUGCUUUUGGAAUGCCCAACCUGAAAGAUCCCAGAACAUUUUCCUAGGAUACUUAGCAAGCCGGUCUCCACCCCACCUCCAGGCCCCUCACCUCACGUGUUCAGAGCCCUGAUCCUCCGUGGAAGCCCCAACAUGGUGAUUUCUGCGUCUUCAUCAUGGGUUCGUGCUAUCUCUGUCCCACACUCAAGGGUGAAGCUGCCUUAUUAGCUAGCAUGACUCCUUUCUGAGCACUGUUCCUUGAGAACCCAGCCCAGUCUAGCUAGGGUAGGUCAGAGAGCUGGGUCAAAGACACGAGUGUAGCCCACCCAUCUGGAUGGGGGCGGGACUGAGGUGAGAGCAAGCGGGGAAAGCGUCUACUACAGGAGCUCCAUACAGGAAGAAUGUAGGCCAGCGGCUCCCCACUGCUCUGAUGCUGAGACCCUUCACACAACGUCCCAUGUUGUGGUGCCCCCCCAACCAGAAAAUUAUUUGUAUUGUUACUUCUUAACUGUAACUUUGCUGUUAUGUGUUAAAGAUCUGUUACCCAAUGGUCUUAGGGGAUCCAUGAAAGGUCAUUCAACCCCAAAAGGAACCCCAGGUUGAGAGCCGCUGAUCCAGGCAGUCACUUUGUGUUUAUGCCAGUCUCCAGUUGGGGAAAAGCUUUGUGUCAAGAUUAAAGAGGACAGUGUGUUUGAAAGUGACCAAGUGCCUGUGUUGAGCCAAGGUUAAUGGUGCUACAACAGACCCGUCCUGACCCAGAGCAGCCUGGCUCCUUACCUCAGCUGCUGACACCCAGGACCUGGCAAAACAGGUAAGAGGAGCAGGAGCGCAGCUUGAGUCUGCACUGCAGACACAGCUGCCCUGCAGACAGCCUGGACCAUGGGAGCUGCACUCAGUCCACCAGUGCCACGCACAGCUUCCAUAUCCCCAGGCUGUCCUCACACACAACACAAAGAGGCUGGCCCUGCGUUUAGAAUGGACCAUUUGAUCUACUUACUGCACAUAGUCUCCAGACAAAACCAGACAUAAAAGAGGAGCCCGGAUUCUCAAGGCAAGUAUAGUAAAAGCGGGCCACUCAAACAGAGCUGGGGUCAAUUUAAAAUGCAGUGCUUCCCGCCCGUCUUUAUGUUAUGUGUCCCUCACUGUAAGAACAUGACAUUUAAUGACAUGUAAGUGGGAACCAAGGACAGUGACCAAGUUCUGAGGUCUUAGAUUACUGCAGCUUUGUUUAAAAUGAAAAAAAAAAAAAAAGUAGUUCUACUAUUUAUUAGGUAUAAGUAACUCUUGGGUAUGUUGUCCAAUAUCACAAAAUAUGCUUGUUACCUAACUAAAGCAGAGUCCUGUAGCCCAUGACAAAAGGCAGUUCUGCUCUGGUACACAAGCUCUGACUAUGAGCACAGUGUCCAGAAUCACAUUUGUUUCUUUUCUACCUAAGUUUCUUACCUUCUGAAGGCCACUCAACAGACCCUGUGCAGGCUAGCACUGAAAAGAGAGGGCUGUGGGUUAGAAACUGCCUCCGCACGGCAGGAUUCCGGGCUCUGCACAGGAAAGGGACAGAGCAGACUCAGGGAGAUGGCACUCAGUUCUGUCCUUCAUCCCCACAGGACAGGCCCCCACGUGCUCUCAACACAGAGACAGUACCACAGGGGAGCACAAAUCAACAUGAUAAUCACUCAGGUAAAGAAUCCAUUUUAAAAACCAAAUUAUCUGUUAAACCUCCAAUUUUUACUUUCAAAGACACUUGCAGCCAAUGUCUCUGUCUCACAAGUCUUUUCCCUUUACAUAGGCGACAGGAUUGUGCCUGCUUUACCUACCACACCCGGACCCGCUUCACUGCACACGAAGAUUGUUUUUUUACUGUUUACAUUUUUCCUUAAGUUAAUUUUUAAAAAAGCAUAGUAAAGACUCUGAGGACAAAUUAUUCAACUGUUUAUCAUACAUAAGACCGCAUGACUAUAAUACAAAGGGGGGUCUUUUUUCAUUUAACGUUACAAUAUACACAGCAAGUCUGGACUAGAUCUUACAAUCUGAACACAGGUAUUUAACCUCUCCAUGCUGUUUAUGUUUACAAUGCACAGAAGUCCUGUAACCAAACUGUGUAGUAAAGCACACAAAACUGGACUGUAACGUGACACGGUAUGCAGAAGCACUGGAUUGUGUGGCUCUCUUUACGUAAAUAUAGCUUUAAAAACUGCUUUCUUUUUUGGUGCUUGCUAAAAUGUGGCAACCAGCACAGAAAGAAAAAAAGAAUGACCUGAGCCACGUGGGGUGGGUGUGUGGCACCUGGGGCUCCGCAGCCACAGGCGCUGCGCCCUCCUGACAGUGCUGUGCUCAAGGUGAGGCCUCUGUACGGAAAUGCUCAUCAACUACCAAGCUCAAAACAAUCCACAGGCUUGACAUUUAAUUACAAAAUCAAUAUGGGUUUCCUGAUUAACACCUGAAGUGUCUGUGUUUAUAGAAACGGGGCUCUCUGAGUCUCCACUUGCACUCACAGAGCUUAGGCCUUUCUUUUGUUUACAUAUAAAAAACAAAAAAAAACCUGCUUUUGCUCAGAAACAAAAAAAAAAAAAAAAAA